rnacentral:rRNA from 1 species
GUUAGGAAUAUUGGACAAUGGGCGAAAGCCUGAUCCAGCCAUGCCGCGUGAACGAUGAAGGCCUUCGGGUUGUAAAGUUCUUUAGCCGAUGAUUAUAAUGACUGUAGUCGGAAAAUAAGCCCCGGCUAACUUCGUGCCAGCAGCCGCGGUAAUACGAAGGGGGCGAGCGUUAUUCGGAAUCACUGGGCGUAAAGCGUGCGUAGGCGGUUUUGUAAGUUAGGAGUGAAAGCCCAGGGCUCAACCUUGGAAUUGCUCUUAAAACUGCAAGGCUCGAAUCUCGGAGAGGAUAGCGGAAUUUCCAGUGUAGCAGUGAAAUGCGUAGAUAUUGGAAGGAACACCAGUGGCGUAAGCGGCUAUCUGGACGAGUAUUGACGCUGAGGCACGAAAGCGUGGGGAUCAAACAGGAUUAGAAACCCGAGUAGUCC